rnacentral:rRNA from 1 species
CCUACGGGAGGCAGCAGUGGGGAAUAUUGGGCAAUGGGCGCAAGCCUGACCCAGCAACGCCGCGUGAAGGAAGAAGGCUUUCGGGUUGUAAACUUCUUUUCUGUGGGACGAAGAAAGUGACGGUACCUCAGGAAUAAGCCACGGCUAACUACGUGCCAGCAGCCGCGGUAAUACGUAGGUGGCAAGCGUUAUCCGGAUUCAUUGGGUGUAAAGGGCGUGUAGGCGGGAUAGCAAGUCAGAUGUGAAAACUCAGGGCUCAACCCUGAGCCUGGAUUUGAAACUGUUUUUCUUGAGUGCUGGAGAGGCAAUCGGAAUGCCGGGUGUAGCGGUGAAAUGCGUAGAUAUACGGAGGAACACCAGUGGCGAAGGCGGAUUGCUGGACAGUAACUGACGCUGAGGCGCGAAAGCGUGGGGAGCAAACAGGAUUAGAUACCCUAGUAGUU